GUCCCAACCGCUCCCGCGGCGGUUCGAACUCGGAGCCUCAGAGGUUCGCUGGUUCUCCGCUUCGUGUGUUAGAGGCUUCCAUGUCGUGGCCUGCGCGAGUGUCCUAAGCUUCCGAGCGCAGGGGAGCAGCGCGGUGCGCCGUGGUCUGGGGUCGCUAACUCCAGCUGCGACCUGGGUGGAAGUUCAUGAUGUUGUUGAAUAGAUGUGAAGCAGAAUGGGGACCUGAGUCACUCACUGACUGGGGGAGUCUUCGAACUUAAGCAGAAGCAAAUCGUGAAAACAAAACCAGAAAGAGGGUAGAAACAUUUUAUUUACAAAACAUCUCAUAUAAUUUCAAUCCUCAACUUUUUCGAAUAAGGAAAUGGAAUCUAGUUCAUCAGACAACUAUAAUAAAGACAACGACAAUGAGGAAGAAAGCUUGCUUGCAAAUGUUGCUUCAUUAAGACAUGAACUGAAAAUAACAGAGUGGAGUUUGCAGAAUUUAGGGGAAGAGUUAUCCAGUGUUAGUCCAAGUGAAAAUUCUGAUUGUGUCUGCAAUUCUUCAAGAUCUGAAAGGCUUAUUUUGGAAGAGCUUACUCAACCUAGCCGCCUGGGACAUUUAAAUUACCCACUUUAUAAGAAAGUUUGUAAAACAUCUGGUAGUACUGAUUUUCAAAAGAAACCAAGAGAUAAGGUGUCUUUUUCAUCUGCUUCUGUGGAUCAAGAGAUUAAAAGCCUUCGAGAGAAACUUAAUAGACUUAGGCAACAGAAUGCUUGUUUGGUCACACAGAAUCAUUCUUUAAUGACUAAAAUAGAAUCUAUCCACUUUGAAUUGACACAGUCAAAAGCAAAAAUGUCUAUGUUUGAGUCUGUGCAAGAGCAGGCAGCCAACAUCCCAAUCUUAGAAGAACAGAUUAUAAGUUUGGAAGCAGAAGUUUCAGCUCAAGAUAAAGUUUUAAGGGAAGCAGAAGAUAAAUUAGAGCAGAGUCAGAAAAUGGUGAUUGAGAAGGAACACAGUUUACAAGAAGCCAAAGAGGAAUGUAUAAAAUUGAAGGUGGACUUACUUGAACAAAGUAAACAAGGAAAAAGGGCUGAACAACAAAGGAAUGAAGCACUAUACAAUGCUGAAGAGCUGAGUAAAGCUUUCCAGCAGUAUAAACAAAAAGUGGCUGAAAAACUGGAAAAGGUUCAAGCUGAAGAAGAAUUAUUAGAGAAAAAUCUUAAUAACUGUGAAAAAGAAAACAAAAGGCUUCAAGAAAAGUGUAAUCUGUAUAAAAGUGAACUUGAAGUUUUGAAAGAGAAAUUCAGGCAGUUAAAAGAAGAGCAUAACAGUGGAAAAGAAAAAUUAAGAAUUAUGGCAAUGAAAAAUUCAGAAGUCAUGUCACAGUUAACUGAAUCUAGACAAAGUGUCCUGAAGCUAGAGAGUGAGUUAGAGGACAAAGAUGAAAUAUUGCGAGAAAAAAUUUCUUUAAUAAAAGAAAACCGAGAAUUGAAGGUUCGUGUUGCAACACAGAAUGAACGACUGGAUUUGUGUCAGCAGGAAAUUGAUAGUUCAAGGUUGGAACUGAGGAGCUUAGAAAAACUGAUGUCCCAGAUGUCAUUAAAAAGAGAAAUAGUUGGCUUUAAGUCAUCUCUUUCUAAGCACCAGAUGAAUAGUUUUUCUAACAAGGAGGACAAUUGCAUUGGCUGCUGUGAGGCAAAUAAAUUCAUGAUUUCGGAAUUGAGGAUUAAGCUUGCAAUCAAAGAGGCUGAAAUUCAGAAGCUACAUGCGAACCUAACUGUCAACCAGUUGUCUCAGAACACUGCUUCUUGUGAUGAUGUUCAAGAAGGUGGCAAAGUAAACACUUUAGAAACAGAGCCUGUAAAGCUAGGUGGUAGUCAAGGUGAAAAUAGAAAAGAUCAAAAUCAUCAUACUAUGAAUAAGCAGUAUGAAAGAGAGAAGGAAAGACUUGCUACGGGAAUAGAAGAACUACGCGCUAAGCUGAUACAAAUAGAAGCUGAGAAUUCUGAUUUGAAGGUUAACAUGGCACACAGAACUAGUCAGUUUCAGCUAAUUCAAGAAGAACUGCUAGAGAAAGCUUCAAAUGCUAGCAAACUGGAAAAUGAAAUGACGAAGAAAUGUUCUCAACUUUUAACUCUAGAGAAACAGCUGGAAGAAAAAAUUAUUGCGUAUUCUUCUAUUGCUGCAAAAAAUGCAGAACUUGAACAGGAGCUCAUGGAGAAGAAUGAAAAAAUAAGAAGCCUUGAAUCCAAUAUCAAUACGGAACAUGAGAAAAUUUGUUUUGCUUUUGAAAAAGCAAAGAAAAUUCACCUUGAACAGCAUAAAGAAAUGGAAAAACAGAUUGAACGACUUGAAACUCAACUAGAGAAAAGAGAUCAACAAUUCAAAGAGCAAGAAAAGACUAUGUCCAUUUUGCAGCAAGAUAUACUAUGUAAACAACAUCACCUUGAAUCACUAGAUAGACUUUUGACAGAAAAUAAAGUGGAAAUGGAAAAAGAAAAUAUGAAGAAAGAUGAAGCUUUGAAAUCAUUGCAGAUUCAUGUGUCUGAAGAAACAAUCAAGGUCAGACAACUGGAUUCAGCAUUAGAAAUCUGUAAGGAAGAACUUGCUUUGCAUUUGAAUCAAUUGGAAGGAAAUAAGGAAAAAUUUGAAAAACAGCUGAAGAAGAAGUCCGAAGAAGUAUAUUGUUUGCAGAAAGAGCUAAAGAUAAAGAAUCAUAGUCUUCAAGAGACUAGUGAGCAAAAUGCUAUUCUACAGCAUACUCUUCAGCAGCAGCAACAGAUGUUACAGCAAGAGACAAUUAGAAAUGGAGAGCUAGAAGAUAUUCAGACUAAACUUGAAAAACAGGUAUCAAAGCAAGAACAAGAGCUCCAGAAACAAAGGGAAAGCUCAGCAGAGAAGCUGAGAAAAAUGGAAGAGAAAUACGAGGCAGCCGUGCACGAUGCAGAUUUGAAAAGGCAGAACAUGAUUGAGCUUACUGCUGCUGCCAGGCAAGCCAGACUUGAGAUGGAUCAGUACAAAGAAGAGCUGUCUAAAAUGGAAAAAGAAAUCAUACAUCUGAAACGAGAUGGGGAAAAUAAAUCCAUACAUCUCUCUCAGUUAGAUAUGAUUUUAGAUCAGACAAAGACAGAACUAGAAAAGAAAACAAAUGCAGUGAAGGAGCUAGAAAGGUUACAGCACCACACUGAAGCUGAACUAACAGAAACUAUGCAGAAACGGGAAACACUUGAAACUGAACUACAAAAUGCUCAUGGAGAAUUGAAAAGUACCUUAAGACAACUACAGGAAUUGAGAGAUGUACUACAAAAGGCUCAGUUAUCAUUAGAGGAAAAAUACACUACAAUAAAGGAUCUCACUGCUGAACUUAGAGACUGUAAGAUGGAGAUUGAAGACAAAAAGCAAGAACUCGUUGAAAUGGAUCAGGCGCUUAAGGAGAGAAAUUGGGAGCUAAAGCAAAGAGCAGCUCAGGUUACACAUUUGGAUAUGACCAUUCGUGAGCACAGAGGAGAAAUGGAGCAAAAAAUAAUUAAAUUAGAAGGUACUCUUGAGAAAUCAGAAUUAGAACUUAAAGAAUGCAACAAACAGGUAGAAAGUUUAAAUGAAAAGUUGCAAAAUGCCAAAGAACAGCUUCGCGAAAAGGAGUUUAUAAUGCUCCAGAAUGAACAGGAGAUAAGUCAACUGAAAAAGGAGACUGAAAGAACACAACAGAGGAUGAAAGAAAUGGAAAGUGUUAUAAAAGAGCAGGAAGAGUACAUUGCUACCCAGUACAAGGAGGUCAUUGAUUUGGGGCAAGAAUUAAGACUAACCCAGGAGCAAAUGCAGAGCUCUCGUUCUGAACUGGUGGAGGCUCGUCGCCAAGAAGUCCAAGCGCAGAGAGAAAUAGAAAGACUCUCUAGUGAAUUGGAGGAUAUAAAGCAACUCUCUAAAGAAAAAGAAGCUCAUGGAAAUCGUUUGGCUGAAGAACUAGGGGCUUCUCAAGUACGUGAAGCUCAUUUAGAAGCAAGAAUGCAAGCGGAGAUAAAGAAAUUAUCCUUAGAAGUGCAGUCUCUCAAAGAAGCUUAUCACAUGGAGAUGAUUUCACAUCAAGAAAACCAUACAAAGUGGAAAAUUUCUGCUGACUCUCAAAAGACUUCUGUUCAACAACUAAACGAACAACUAGAGAAAGCAAAACUUGAAUUAGAAGAAGCUCAGGAUACUGUAAGCAAUUUGCAUCAACAAGUUCAAGACAGAAAUGAAGUCAUUGAAGCUGCAAAUGAAGCAUUACUUAUUAAAGAAUCAGAAUUAACCAGAUUGCAAGCCAAAAUUUCUGGACAUGAAAAGACAGAAGACCUCAAGUUUCUACCAGCUUCCUUUACAACUCUAACAGAAAUUAUGCCUGAUAUUCAAGAUCCAAAGUUUGCCAAACAUUCUCAGAUAUCAUUUUUCAAAUGCAGAAAACUACGUCGCUCUGUUAGUGCCACUGACCUUAGUUUCAAGAGUCAUACCAAUGAAGAUCUCUCUGAAGAAUUGCUACAGGACUUAAAGAAAAUGCAAUUAGAACAGCCUUUGGCAUUAGAAGGUGGUCAUAAAGACCUAGCUUUCAAGCAUUCAGAUUCAUUUAAACCUCUCCCAUAUAACCUGGAAGAUGAUAGUUCUGAGAGUAAUGACUUCAGUACUCUUAGUGGAAUGCUGAGAUAUAUAAACAAAGAAGUGAGACUGUUAAAAAAGUCUUCUCUGAAAACAGCUACUGGUUUAAUUCAGGGCAGUAAAUAGUUCACAAAAUGUGAUUAUGAGAAAUGACAAAAUCAGCCUAAAGAAAAACCAAGAUAGGAAAAAUGAUGAAGCAAGAGACUAAGGAAAUAUAUAGGGACAUGACAAUGUUUUCCAAUUCAAGGGAGGAAAAUUGUAAUUAAAAGAAGAUGUCUAUGUCAUGAAAAAUGGAAUUGUUGGUACUGUGCUGUUUAUUAUAUGUAGUGCAUAUUUCAUAGAAGCUGUUAUUUUAUUGUUUUUGAAUAAAUUUUAUUUUAAUAUUUUAAAGAAACCUUUCUAAAAUAUAA